rnacentral:rRNA from 1 species
UGGGGAAUUUUGCACAAUGGGGGAAACCCUGAUGCAGCGACGCCGCGUGAUUUAGAAGGCCUUCGGGUUGUAAAAAUCUUUUCUAUGGGAAGAAAAUGACAGUACCAUAGGAAUAAGGACCGGCUAAUUACGUGCCAGCAGCCGCGGUAAUACGUAAGGUCCGAGCGUUGUCCGGAAUUAUUGGGCGUAAAGGGUACGUAGGCGGGUAAGCAAGUUAGAAGUGAAAUCCUAUAGCUCAACUAUAGUAAGCUUUUAAAACUGCUCAUCUUGAGGUAUGGAAGGGAAAGUGGAAUUCCUAGUGUAGCGGUGAAAUGCGCAGAUAUUAGGAGGAAUACCGGUGGCGAAGGCGACUUUCUGGCCAUAACCUGACGCUGAGGUACGAAAGCGUGGGUAGCAAACAGG